rnacentral:misc_RNA from 1 species
UUUCCGUAGGUGAACCUGCGGAAGGAUCAUUAUUGAAUGAAACACUUCUGGCUUUAUGCUGUUGUGCUGGCCCUUUGGGCAAUGUGCACACGGCUCUGGUCACUUGUUUCUUCUGUUCCACCUGUGCACUGCCUGUAGACACGCUGUGUCUAUGAUAUUUGUUAACACACAACAAUGUUAGUUGGCAUGUUAUAUAUAAUAAUAAAAUAUACAACUUUCAACAACGGAUCUCUUGGCUCUCGCAUCGAUGAAGAACGCACC